rnacentral:rRNA from 1 species
UACAGAGGGUGCAAGCGUUGUUCGGAAUUAUUGGGCGUAAAGGGCGCGUAGGCGGUGCCACAAGUCACCUGUGAAAUCUCCGGGCUUAACUCGGAGCCUGCAGGCGAAACUGUGGUGCUGGAGUGUGGGAGAGGUGCGUGGAAUUCCCGGUGUAGCGGUGAAAUGCGUAGAUAUCAGGAGGAACACCGGUGGUGUAAACGGCUUUCUGGACCAUAACUGACGCUGAUGCACGAAAGCGUGGGUAGCAAACAGG